rnacentral:rRNA from 1 species
UCCUUUGCGUAGUAACUAACGUCUCGCACUGGGAUCCGGAGGGACUCUUGCCGUAAAACCCCCAAAUUCUUUACAGGUUGACCUCGGAUCAGGUAGGAAUACCCGCUGAACUUAAGCAUAUCAAUAAGCGGAGGAAAAGAAACCAACAGGGAUUGCCCCAGUAACGGCGAGUGAAGCGGCAACAGCUCAAAUUUGAAAUCUGGCCCCAGGCCCGAGUUGUAAUUUGCAGAGGAUGCUUUUGGCGCGGUGCCUUCCGAGUUCCCUGGAACGGGACGCCAUAGAGGGUGAGAGCCCCGUACGGUUGGACACCAAGCCUUUGUAAAGCUCCUUCGACGAGUCGAGUAGUUUGGGAAUGCUGCUCUAAAUGGGAGGUACAUUUCUUCUAAAGCUAAAUAUUGGCCAGAGACCGAUAGCGCACAAGUAGAGUGAUCGAAAGAUGAAAAGCACUUUGAAAAGAGGGUUAAACAGCACGUGAAAUUGUUAAAAGGGAAGCGCUUGUGACCAGACUUGCGUCCGGUGAAUCACCCAGCUCUCGCGGCUGGGGCACUUCGCCGGCACAGGCCAGCAUCAGCUUGCCGUCGGGGACAAAAGCUUCAGGAACGUGGCUCCUCUCGGGGAGUGUUAUAGCCUGUUGCAUAAUACCCUUCGGCGGGCUGAGGUACGCGCUCCGCAAGGAUGCUGGCGUAAUGGUCAUCAGCGACCCGUCUUGAAACACGGACCAAGGAGUCAACCUUAUGUGCGAGUGUUUGGGUGUUAAACCCCUACGCGUAAUGAAAGUGAACGCAGGUGAGAGCUUCGGCGCAUCAUCGACCGAUCCUGAUGUUCUCGGAUGGAUUUGAGUAAGAGCAUAUAGGGUUGGACCCGAAAGAAGGUGAACUAUGCGUGUGUAGGGUGAAGCCAGAGGAAACUCUGGUGGAGGCUCGCAGCGGUUCUGACGUGCAAAUCGAUCGUCAAACAUGCGCAUGGGGGCGAAAGA